GGGUCCUCGAGGUUCCUCGGGUUCCUCAGGGAUCCUCAGGGGUCCUCAGGGGGUUCCUCAGGGGUCCUCAGGGUUCCUCAGGGUUCUGCUCUGUAGUAUUUGCAUGCUGGGUGCUGCGUGCUGGUUCUGAAGUGUUUGAAGCCUUAAACAUCUCUCAGCUGCAGACUGACUUUAAUCUUUAACCACGAAUGUAAACGAGUCAAAUCUUCCUUCAUGUUGGGAAUAAAAUAUGUCCUCAGGUUCACAGCUCAGGAUCUCAGAGGUCAGAGGUCAGAGGUCAGAGGUCAGAGGUUAGGACUCACUGG